rnacentral:rRNA from 1 species
ACGGAAGGCAGCAGUGGGGAAUAUUGGGCAAUGGGCGAAAGCCUGACCUAGCAACGCCGCGUGAAGGAAGGAGGCCUUCGGGUUGUAAACUUCUUUUACCAGGGACGAAGGACGUGACGGUACCUGGAGAAAAAGCAACGGCUAACUACGUGCCAGCAGCCGCGGUAAUACGUAGGUUGCAAGCGUUGUCCGGAUUUACUGGGUGUAAAGGGCGUGUAGGCGGAGAGGCAAGUCAGAUGUGAAAUCCCGGGGCUCAACCCCGGAACUGCAUUUGAAACUGUCUCCCUUGAGUAUCGGAGAGGCAAGCGGAAUUCCUAGUGUAGCGGUGAAAUGCGUAGAUAUUAGGAGGAACAUCAGUGGCGAAGGCGGCUUACUGGGCUUUAACUGACGCUGAGGCUCGAAAGCGUGGGGAGCAAACAGGAUUAGAUACCCUGGUA